UGGUGUCUGAACUGGCCUUCCACCCUCAAACUUUGCCUUUUUCUGGAGUGAAUGAGGGUAUUUCAUCUUUUUCAAUUAAGAAGGUCUCAAAGGACGUUUGUCAACCAAGGAGCAAAAUUCAAGAAACUAGUCGAACUCUCUAUCCCAACAAUUGAAAUUAUGUGGUAACUCUGUCUCAAUUUAUUGGCGCUUUUGAGGUAUUCUAAAAUGUUUGCACUAUUUCGCUAAUAAUGUUAUUCUUUAUAACUUUUACAAAUUUUAAUAAUUCAAACUGGAUUAACUAAUCUGUGAAAAAAAUGGAUUAACUAAUCAGAUUAAACAUUAAUAUGUUAUUUUCUUUGUACUCUUAUGUUUUCUUCCACAACAAUUUCUACAAUACUAAGUUAUAAGAUAUGUGCCUAAUUAGUUAGUACUGACUUACGAAAUAAGACGGAAGUAAUUAAUAUACUCCUAAGUCCAACUAUAUAUUGCGGUUUAGAACACAAUAUAAUUUGAAAUUGGAGGAAUGAUUUUUUAUUAUUGUAUCGAAACUGAAAUACUCCAACAUGAAAUCCAGAUCUUUUGUGCACGAAUUUAGGAUCAGGCGACAUUGGAAGGCAAUAAUUAGGGGCAUUAUCUAACAUUAAUUGAUAAAUAAAUGAAAAGGCAAAGCCACACCCACUGAACGAAAGUGAAAGCAAACAUAAAAGUACUUUACAACAAUUUUCCAAUUAACACAUCGCAAUAAAUAAAUAUGGAGUUACGUAAGGGUCAUCAUUUCGGGGCACACUUGCAUCUUUUGUGGACAAUAUCUUUAGCAAAAGGAAAAUGCAAGAAUGUACCACCUUUAAUUCUUUCGAUAGGAGUUUAGGUUCUCUCAUUGAUAGCGUGUAGAUUUUUUACACUAUCAUGUUAACUAGACCUAUAAUAAUAGGUAACUAUACAUGACGAAUUUGAUAUGGUAACUUAUAAAUAUUGUAGUAGUCCAUUGUAAUUAAUUAAAUUACAUUAAUAAUACAGUAUAAAGAAUUUUACAUUAUCAAUAUAUUUAAUUUAAGCGCUCGCCUUCCUUUAUUAAGUCCCACAAACACUUCAUGAUGUACAUCACUCUUUAGCCUUGGUUGUCAUUGUCCCAUCCCCCUAAUCAACUUAACUUUGUAUAUUCCCCCUCCUCUCUCUAUAAAACCCACAGCUCAAGCCUCUCUUUAUAUAUUUGUUCACUACUUGCAUUGCUUUCCCCCAAAGAUAAGUGAAAUUCGAUACGAAAUAUGGGUGUUCUUGAUUAUUUGUCAAAUUUUUGCACCGUUACCAGCACAAGACGACGUACCAGAAGGAAACCAUUGCAGACAGUGGAGAUAAAAGUGAAGAUGGACUGUGAUGGAUGCGAAAGAAGAGUCAAGAAUGCAGUUAAACGCAUGAAAGGUUACUAUUUUCAUAAAUUUUCGGUUAAGGACCGUUGAAAGUUGAUAUGAUAUAUAUAAA